rnacentral:rRNA from 1 species
CAGUCGCCGCGGUAAUACGAAGGGUGCAAGCGUUAAUCGGAAUUACUGGGCGUAAAGCGUGCGUAGGCGGUGAGUUAAGUCUGCUGUGAAAUCCCCGGGCUCAACCUGGGAAUGGCAGUGGAUACUGGCUCGCUAGAGUGUGUCAGAGGAUGGUGGAAUUCCCGGUGUAGCGGUGAAAUGCGUAGAGAUCGGGAGGAACAUCAGUGGCGAAGGCGGCCAUCUGGGGCAACACUGACGCUGAGGCACGAAAGCGUGGGGAGCAAACAGGAUUAGAUACCCCCGUAGUCCCUGUCUCUUAUAC